CUGCAACACCUUCCAAAAAAGUUGGGAUGGUAAAGCAUUUACCACUUUGAAAUGUUGCCAUUCUGUCUCAACACAAAGAUGUUUUGGCACGGUGAAUGAAGUGUUCCAGUGCACUCAAAAAACAAAGAAUUGGCAUUCGUUCUUGUUAAGCAAACAAAUCAAAUUGAUAUUAAUUGAUUUGACCCAUUUUUAAAAUGUACUUAAAAUAUCUGUGUUAAUACAACGUAAUUAUCCUAAUUGUUAAAUUGACCUAAAUCAAUCAACUGAAAUAAAAGAGAAUAAAUUGAGUUUAUCCAACUCUUGCGAGGUUUUAAAUUCAUUAAACAAAAAAAUUACUUUUGAUUAACUUAAAAAAGUUAAGUAAUUGAACAGAAAACCCCUCCCAUAAACGUGUAAGUCCGCUCCUUUUCAGGUGUUGGUGAAUCAAAAAUGAUUUUCGGGUAGCCAUUUUUUCUUGUGUGAGGGUCAUUUGUUUUAACUUUUGUAACCUGCAAAUUACUUUUUACUUUUCAUUUAAGGCUUUUUGUAAAAGUAAACGUGUCUUUCUCGAAUAUAUUUUGGAAAGUAGAACCUUUGUUAAACUAAGUCGACGAAUUUUUUCCCCCGACUGUGCUGUGUUUGAGUAGCAUGUACACCAGUCUGACGGAGCUUUUUCAUCUUUCAUCCGUUAACCCAACUCCAGUCUAAUGUUGAGAGCUGCCAGCCAAAUGUUAAGAAAUCAGCUCGCCGUGUGAAACAGUACAGGUUCAUGGUUACUGUAAAGAGCUGUUUGUGCUUUCAUACAGUCUGUACAGUUUUUAAUGUUUCCUUGACAUGUUGUAUUUUAAGUAAAUACUUCUGAAGUGAAAUAAAAAAGAGAAGAAUUUUA